rnacentral:rRNA from 1 species
CCUGUUUAUUAAAAMCMUGGYUUGWWRAGUAUGAUUUCAAGUYUGACCUGCCCAAUGAUUUAAAUUAAAUGGCCGCGGUAUAUUGACCGUGCAAAGGUAGCAUAAUCAUUAGUUUUUUAAUUGAAAGCUUGAAUGAAGGGUUUGAUGAGAAAGUUUYUGUYUYUGGAAAAAUUUAUUAGAAUUUUAUUUUUAAGUUAAAAAGCUUAAAUAUAUAUAGAAGACGAGAAGACCCUAUAGAGUUUAAUUGUUUUAUAUAAGACAGUAUUUUGAGGUUUUUGAUGUAUGGUUUUAUAUAUAAUUAUUUUGUUGGGGCGAUAGGAAAAUUAAUUCAACUUUUCUUUAUAAGUACAUUUAUUUAUGAAUCUAUGAUCCUAAGUUUUAGAUUAUAAGGUUAAAUUACCUUAGGGAUAACAGCGUUAUUUUUWUUAGAGUUBUUAUCGAAAAAAAAGUUUGCGACCUSRAUGUUGGAUUAAA